rnacentral:rRNA from 1 species
UUGAACGCUGGCGGCAUGCAUGAGACAUGCAAGUCGAACGGACGGGCGAGCUUGCUCGCCCGUUAGUGGCGGACGGCUGAGUAACGCGUGGGUGACCUGCCCCGAAGUGGGGAAUAACUGCCCGAAAGGGUGGCUAAUACCGCAUGUGGUGACUGGUUCGUUCCAGUCUCCAAAGCCGCAAGGCGCUUCGGGAGGGGCCUGCGUCCGAUUAGCUCGUUGGUGGGGCAACGGCUCACCAAGGCGACGAUCGGUAGGUG